UACGGAGGGGGCUAGCGUUGUUCGGAAUUACUGGGCGUAAAGCGCACGUAGGCGGCUUUGUAAGUUAGAGGUGAAAGCCCGGGGCUCAACUCCGGAAUUGCCUUUAAGACUGCAUCGCUCGAAUUGUGGAGAGGUAAGUGGAAUUCCGAGUGUAGAGGUGAAAUUCGUAGAUAUUCGGAAGAACACCAGUGGCGAAGGCGGCUCUCUGGUACGUGACUGACGCUGAGACGCGAAAGCGUGGGGAGCAACAGG
rnacentral:rRNA from 1 species